UACGUAGGGGGGCAAGCGUUGUCCGGAAUCAUUGGGCGUAAAGAGCGUGUAGGCGGCCCGGUAAGUCCGCUGUGAAAGUCCAGGGCUCAACCCUGGGAUGCCGGUGGAUACUGUCGGGCUCGAGUCCGGAAGAGGAGUGUGGAAUUCCUGGUGUAGCGGUGAAAUGCGCAGAUAUCAGGAGGAACACCGGUGGCGAAGGCGGGUCUCUGGGCCGAUACUGACGCUGAGGAGCGAAAGCGUGGGGAGCGAACAGG
rnacentral:rRNA from 1 species